rnacentral:rRNA from 1 species
AACUCCUACGGGAGGCAGCAGUGGGGAAUUUUGGACAAUGGGGGGAACCCUGAUCCAGCCAUGCCGCGUGUCUGAAGAAGGCCUUCGGGUUGUAAAGGACUUUUGUUAGGGAAGAAAAGCCGGGUGCUAAUACCACCUGGUGCUGACGGUACCUAA